rnacentral:rRNA from 1 species
UGCCAGCCGCCGCGGUAAUACGGAGGGUGCAAGCGUUGUUCGGAAUUACUGGGCGUAAAGCGCGCGUAGGCGGGCUGUUAAGUCGGGGGUGAAAUCCCGGGGCUCAACCCCGGAACUGCCUCCGAUACUGGCAGCCUAGAGAUCGAGAGAGGCGAGUGGAAUUCCUAGUGUAGCGGUGAAAUGCGUAGAUAUUAGGAGGAACAUCAGUGGCGAAGGCGACUUUCUGGACUGUACCUGACGCUGAGGCGCGAAAGCAUGGGUAGCGAACAGGAUUAGAUA